GCUCCACAAAACUUGGCUCCAGCUCUGCCAGUUAGCCCUGUAAGGAGGAAAGAUUCAGAUGUUUCCAGAGUGAUGCUCCUUGUGAUGUUCCCAGCCUAACCACUCCAGAUUGGCAGUUCCAAGUUUUCCCCAGACAUGCUUCCUCUCCACCAGUGUGUGGGAGACCCAGGACUUCUCAGAGCUGUCUCUGAGCAAGAAUGACAGUUGGACUACAAGGAGAUCCUCGUGGGCCUGAGAGGGAACUUCACAGUCCACAUCAUGUCAUGAAAAGAAUCUGAAAGGAUCUAAAAGAAGAAAAACAAACUUCUUUCCCACAUGACUCCUACUCCUUCUUCCUUCAUAUUUUGUCUUUUUUUAAAAAAAACAAAAACAAAAGAAAGCGAUAUUAAUUAUAAAGAGCACACAAAUUGUCACAUGAAUGGGUAACUCUGGGAAAGGAAGACUUGUGGAAAUACUUGCUGUUUAGUUCUGAGAUGUUUCCAUUUACCUAGGCAGCGCUUAGACUAACAUUAUGAAAAAUUCUAUACAGGCAGCAUGUUUUGAAAUAUUAGAAAUAUUACCUCACUGGCCUUUAGCUUCCUCAGCUGUGAUAAAGACAGAACAGAAGGGUUUUCAGCAUCCUUUUUAGGGCUAAUGAGUCAUGAUUCCAUAAUAAUGAUGUGUUUUGCUUAGUUGUGCCAUUAUUUUAGAAAUGUCUUGCAAUCAAGUCAACAAACACUGAUUGAGUAAGCACUAACAGGGCAUAUAACUCAAAAGAGUACUUUUUUGUAGGAAACAAUUGUGUUCCUGAAAAUGGGCAUUUUAUUCGUAUAUAGUUUUAAAUAAAUCAACAUCCAUUUUAUAUAUACCAUGACUUUUCUACUUUCGAGAAUCCUGUGAUGAAGCUUUUGCAGGGCUUAUUUAUCUAAUAUGUCAAGUUCAAUUUUUUUUUGAAGAAAAAAGGUGCAUUCAUACUGGAUGCAUGUGUCACACUGAGUCUCAUUUUCUGGAGAAUGACACAGUUACCAAGAGAUUAUGUGGGCUGCUUGGAAAGCAAGGGCAGCAGCAGGACGCAGAUACCAACUCUGGAACUUGAGCCCACACCCCAGCGACGCUCGUGUCCUUCCCUGGUUCCACCCGGAGAAUGAAUGAAAUUAGCACCGUGAACACGCCGCCCAUGCUCAGCUUGAGACACCCGGCACCCUCUAGGCAGCGUGUCACUCAGAAAAUAGACAACCUUCUUCUGGAUGUUGUUGUCGUGUUGUGAUGGGCUCUGUCUGUUUGGCAACACCACAGCACUCCAGAUGUAUGUUUUCCA